rnacentral:rRNA from 1 species
GACAGAGGUGCCGAGCGUUAGGCGGAAUCACUGGGCUUAAAACGUGUGUAGGCGGGUCCGUAAGUACCUUGUGAAAUCCCACGGCUCAACCGUGGAACUGCUUGGUAUACUGCGGGUCUUGAGCCACCUAGGGGCAAGUGGAACAAACGGUGGAGCGGUGAAAUGCGUAGAUAUCGUUUGGAACGCCAAUGGUGAAAACAACUUGCUGGGGGUGUGCUGACGCUGAGACACGAAAGCCAGGGGAGCAAACGGG